GACGAACGCUGGCGGCGUGCUUAACACAUGCAAGUCGAACGGAAAGGCCCUGCUUUUGUGGGGUGCUCGAGUGGCGAACGGGUGAGUAACACGUGAGUAACCUGCCCUUGACUUUGGGAUAACUUCAGGAAACUGGGGCUAAUACCGGAUAGGAGCUCCUGCUGCAUGGUGGGGGUUGGAAAGUUUCGGCGGUUGGGGAUGGACUCGCGGCUUAUCAGCUUGUUGGUGGGGUAGUGGCUUACCAAGGCUUUGACGGGUAGCCGGCCUGAGAGGGGGACCGGCCACAUUGGGACUGAGAUACGGCCCAGACUCCUACGGGAGGCAGCAGUGGGGAAUAUUGCACAAUGGGCGGAAGCCUGAUGCAGCAACGCCGCGUGCGGGAUGACGGCCUUCGGGUUGUAAACCGCUUUCGCCGGUGACGAAGCGUGAGUGACGGUAAUGGGUAAAGAAGCACCGGCUAACUACGUG
rnacentral:rRNA from 1 species